rnacentral:rRNA from 1 species
GAUGAACGCUGGCGGCGUGCCUAAUACAUGCAAGUCGAGCGAACAGACGAGGAGCUUGCUCCUUUGACGUUAGCGGCGGACGGGUGAGUAACACGUGGAUAACCUACCUAUAAGACUGGGAUAACUUCGGGAAACCGGAGCUAAUACCGGAUAACAUGUUGAACCGCAUGGUUCAACAGUGAAAGACGGUCUUGCUGUCACUUAUCGAUGGAUCCGCGCCGCAUUAGCUAGUUGGUAAGGUAACGGCUUACCAAGGCAACGAUGCGUAGCCGACCUGAGAGGGUGAUCGGCCACACUGGAACUGAGACACGGUCCAGACUCCUACGGGAGGCAGCAGUAGGGAAUCUUCCGCAAUGGGCGAAAGCCUGACGGAGCAACGCCGCGUGAGUGAAGAAGGUCUUCGGAUCGUAAAACUCUGUUAUUAGGGAAGAACAAAUGUGUAAGUAACUAUGCACGUCUUGACGGUACCUAAUCAGAAAGCCACGGCUAACUACGUG